rnacentral:ncRNA from 1 species
AGAAAUGCUUUGAUAAAGUAAAGUAGUAUAGUGAAAGUUUUAAGAGAGGGAAUGUUAGCUGAAAAAUUCCUAAAUGGAAGCUGUAUGAAGUGCGCUUUGGAGUACAUCAUUUGAAGUAUGAGUAGGAUGAUGCGGUAAUACCCGUUAUAGUAUGGAGCAUUAUAUGUGCUUUUGUUUUAGAGUGGAAUAGCGAGUAAGUAUGACUUCGUCUCUAGU